GCCUCCGGCGCCGGGCGGGGCGCCAGUCCGCAGUCAACCAGGGGCCGCACGCGGGACUGCCCUGGGGACCGGUUCGCUGAGUCCGGGCCUCGCGUGCGGAGGACGCGGUCCCCGAACGACACUCGGGCUGCCACCCAAUCUCCCGUGUUCAGUACCCGGAGGACCGGUGCCUUCUUCCCGGCCGCUCACCUGGCCUCAGUUUCGCCAAAACCGGUUUCUUGGUCGUAGGCGACCCGGAGAGAAUCUUCAAGGAAAGGAAAAGCGAAGCUGUAGCCUGUGGCAAAGAUCACAGCAUCAAUGUCAUCCUCCCUGGAGCCGUCUUCAAAUAUGGCAGCGGUCUCCGUGAAUUCCUUGACAUUUCCCUUCACCUUCACCAAGCCAGAAAUUAUACGAUUUGGCAGGUCAUCAUUGACUGUUGGAUGCUGACUCAGAGCUCUAUUCCGUGACCACCUCCCAUUGGCCUGACGUGGGGAAAUCGGGCCGCUUUUUCACACUGCACACAGUGGUCUGCAAAGGAAAGUGAUAGCAACAGGGGACGGUAACCACAGCCUCUGCAGUGGA